GGACGAUGCUACACCCGCGUCCCGCGACGCUGCCAGCGAGGAGAACCUGCCGCCGCUUCCUCCCCCCCCCCACCCCACCCCUCCGCCCUCCGGGCCGGGUCUGGAAGUCCGGCCCCGGCCGGGGAGGAGGAGGUGGCGCCCCAGCUGGGACAGCAGCAGCAGAACCUGCGGUGCGCGGAGGAGCCGCGAGUCCAACGGGGAAAGGGACCGGGACUGGGACCGGGACCGGGACCGGCGCGCGGAACCCGGCUGGAAUUUAGACGCGCACAACUGUUGCAACUGCAGAGCCGCUGGGCUCUUUCUGCUCCGGGCUGCUGGUGAAUUACUUACAAAGCGCCCAGACUUCUCGGAAGGGUGAACGACUCGUUCCCUCUCGCACUGUCCGCCCUCAAUCGCUUUCUCCACCACCGCCCGGCACGCUCUACUGAUCUAAAAUCAGAGCAAUUAGAGUAAUGAAUUUUCUGGAACAGCAACUCCUACAGACACUCAGCUCUGCCCUCGCAUCAGCGCCUCCCAGCCUCAAUUCCCAGCAACCAGGCAAGAGCAUGCAGACCCUUUAAAAAACCCUAUGUCAGCUUCAGUGUUAACCGCGUCUGGAUCCUGGAACUUUGCAGAUUGAUCCGUGUGUCCGUGUGUGUGUCUGUGUGUAAAUGGAGUGAGUGCGUGUACCUCUGAGUACUGUGGUGUCAUAACGAAGCUUUGCUCUUAAAGGACGCAAUACAUUUAGGAGUCUUCCUUA